rnacentral:rRNA from 1 species
AGGGAAAGUUGAAAAGCACUUUGAAAAGAGAGUCAAAUAGUACGUGAAACCGUCGGGAGGGAAACGAACGAGGUUGGUGCGGUGACCGUGCGGUUCAGUCGCGGCCGAAGGGAGCGGCGGCGAGCGUAGAUCGCUCCCGUUCGCGUCGAACGGAGGCCGAGACGUACUCCGCGCGGACACGGACCAGUGGCGGUCGGGCUCGGGGCAAACAAGGCGUCGUGGGAGGUAGGCCGGCUGCGGAUUCCGUCCGCUCUGGCAACGUACAGCCAAGACGAUCCGGCGCCCGGGCCUGGCCGAGGAAGGUGGGCAGCUCUUGCCCGUUGAGGUGCACGCCGUAUGGCGGGGCCUCCCCCCGAGAGCAAACCGUCCCUUCGGGACUGCGUGCAGUGCCGAUUGCGGCGGGGAACCCGUUCGGGGAAGAGUGCCACGUGUGCGCCAGUGCUGCUGGUAUUUGGACGGCCUCGUCCGACCCGUCUUGAAACACGGACCAAGGAGUGCAACAUGUGCGCGAGCCCUUUGGCGAGAAAACCAGAAGGCGCAAUGAAAGUGAAGGCACGGCCGCCGUGCUGAGGUGAGAGCCGCAAGGCGCAUCAUCGACCGAUCCCAUCCGAGCCGCUCGCGGCGCGGCGGGAU